GAUGAAGAACGCAGCGAAAUGCGAUAAGUAAUGUGAAUUGCAGAAUUCAGUGAAUCAUCGAAUCUUUGGACGCACAUUGCGCCCGCUAGUAUUCUGGCGGGCAUGCCUGUUCGAGCGUCAUUUCAACCAUCAAGCCCUGUUUAGGCUUGCGUUGGGGCCCUGCGGCUGCCGCAGCCCCCUAAAUGCAGUGGCGGGCUCGUUGUCACUCCGAGCGCAGUAGCGUAUCUCGCUCUGGGCGUGGCGGCGGGUGCUAGCCGUGAAACACCCACUAAGGUUGACCUCGGAUCAGGUAGGAAUACCCGCUGAACUUAAGCAUAUCAAUAAGCGGAGGA
rnacentral:misc_RNA from 1 species